AAUUGUAAGUAUUUAAAACAUUUAUAACUCUUUUUAAACCAUUUUAAAACUCUAGUGAACCCUUACAAAAUGUUUUAAAAAGAUUUACAAGAGUUUUUAAAAGAUUUUAAAAGAAUUUAUAAGAAAACUCUUGUACAUCUUUUAAAACCCUUGAAAAAUUCUUUGUAAAUCUUUUAAAACACUUUUAAACCCUUUAAAAAUCUUUAAAAAAACCUUUGUAAGUCUUUUAAAGCCUUUUAAAAUCCCUUGUAAAUCUUUUAAAACCCUUUUAAAAUCCUUUGUAAAUCUUUUAAACCCUUUCAAAAUCUCUUGUAAAUCUUUUAAAAUCUUUUAAAACCUUUUUAAAAUCCCUUGAAAAUCUAUUUUCCGCCAAAAUAAAAAUUUCGUAAAAUGUUU
rnacentral:sRNA from 1 species